GUAGAACUGGCUGUGUCAGACAAUUUAAGACAUCCACACCACCACAGACAUAGCAGCUGGUCAUGUUUUUUGCAGUGGAGAUUUAAUAGAUCAGAAGAGC